rnacentral:misc_RNA from 1 species
GAAAUGCGAUAAGUAAUGUGAAUUGCAGAAUUCAGUGAACCAUCGAAUCUUUGAACGCACAUUGCGCCCGGUGGUACUCUACCGGGCAUGCCUGUUCGAGCGUCAUUUCAACCCUCAAGCCCUGCUUGGCGUUGGGGCCCUACGGCUGCCGUAGGCCCUGAAAGGAAGUGGCGGGCUCGCUACAACUCCGAGCGUGGUAACUCACUGUCUCGCUAGGGAGGUUGCGGCGUGCUCCUGCCGUUAAAGACCACAUCUUUAACCAAAGGUUGACCUCGGAUCAGGUAGGAAUACCCGCUGAACUUAA